rnacentral:rRNA from 1 species
UACGGGGGGGGCAAGCGUUGUUCGGAAUUACUGGGCGUAAAGGGCUCGUAGGCGGCCAACUAAGUCGGACGUGAAAUCCCUCGGCUUAACCGGGGAACUGCAUCCGAUACUGGAAGGCUUGAGUUUGGGAGAGGGAUGCGGAAUUCCAGGUGUAGCGGUGAAAUGCGUAGAUAUCUGGAGGAAUACCGGUGGCGAAGGCGGCAUCCUGGACCGACAUUGACGCUGAUGAGCGAAAGCUAGGGGAGCAAACGGG